rnacentral:rRNA from 1 species
CCUACGGGGGGCAGCAGUGGGGAAUAUUGCACAAUGGGCGCAAGCCUGAUGCAGCCAUGCCGCGUGUGUGAAGAAGGCCUUCGGGUUGUAAAGCACUUUCAGCGGGGAGGAAGGCGUUAAGGUUAAUAACCUUGUCGAUUGACGUUACCCGCAGAAGAAGCACCGGCUAACUCCGUGCCAGCAGCCGCGGUAAUACGGAGGGUGCAAGCGUUAAUCGGAAUUACUGGGCGUAAAGCGCACGCAGGCGGUCUGUCAAGUCGGAUGUGAAAUCCCCGGGCUCAACCUGGGAACUGCAUUCGAAACUGGCAGGCUAGAGUCUUGUAGAGGGGGGUAGAAUUCCAGGUGUAGCGGUGAAAUGCGUAGAGAUCUGGAGGAAUUCCGGUGGCGAAGGCGGCCCCCUGGACAAAGACUGACGCUCAGGUGCGAAAGCGUGGGGAGCAAACAGGAUUAAAUACCCGUGUAGUC